CCUUCUCUAAUUUCCCCCCGCAUCCAUCCACAACCCACCCCAAAUUUUCUUCAUAGCUAGAUUCAUCUGGCUCUCUUCUUCUCUGGAUUGCUGCGACCGGCGAUGGCACUUUUGGGGAGGCCGCCCUGCGCUCAGGCCGUGCUCGGGCCUUGGAUCCAGCGCAACAACUUGCCCCGCGAGCAGCCCCUCUUCUCCCAGAUUGCAGCGACCUAUGACGGCAGAUUGGAGCAGGCCGCCCCACCGGCCGAGAUGGGAUCCACCGCACAGACCCUCCCCCUGAGAACCCGACCCUCUUGUCUCCCCAAUUGAAGCCACCAGCGACGACUCUCUAGUGCAACUGUCAGGCUUCACACAUUGGUGGCAAACAAGUCCUAAAUCGUGUUUUUGUAAGAUUCAGAUUAAAGGAGGCCGCCGCACCGCUGACCUUGGAUCCACAGCAUCAAUCCGACUCGAGCACCCGACUCUCUUCUCCCCUGCAAUGGGCGAUGUCUCUCGGUGAUUUACUCAUCCUGCCCUCCUCAUGUCGCCACUGCUUGAUGUUCAGUGAUUCGGGUUCAUGCAUACUACUCGUCAUCCUGCUCUUCUAUGUAAUUUAGGAUUUGCCACAACUUGCUAUGGUAAAAAGCCUGAACCUCUUGCCAAUUAACUUUUGAUAUCCUAUUGAUAGAUGUGUGUAAAACUGCACUAUUACAUUUGUUAUAGCCAGCUAUUGUAAAAAGGCCUGAACCUGAAUAUAUGGUACUGCAGUACAGUUAGCCAUUGUGCAAAUGUUUAGUUAGCUAUCAGAUGCAUGGCCUUAGCUGAGAGAUUUCUUUUGCAACCAUGUGUUCGUAUGGCUACUCUCGCAUACAAAAGGAAACUAUAUGUUGACCAUCUGAUUGUUGAACAAUGCUGUAAUGAAAAAAACUAGAUCCUCUUGAUCACUGAAUGGUGUCAUAAUCAGAUGAACAUAAACACAUGAACUAAAGUAUGCAAGUACAAGCAGGAAGCAGCACAUCCUUGUAUCUACAUGUACGAAUAAACUAGCUUCUGGAUGCAACUACUAUAUGUAUGCUAAAACCUGAAACUUAUGGUUCUGCUGUCCCAUAAAUAGUACUUCAGUAGUGUUGUUAAAACUGAAUAAAGACUGAGCCUGCACCUAAUUUUGACUCGCUACAGAGAUGUAUAGCCCUGCACCAGUGUACUUUUCUCUCCACUACUAGAUAAAACAGAAUUAACUUAAUCUUUUCCAUGCCUCUCGUAAUUGAUUAGCUACCCAUGAUGUUAAGCAUCUGAAGCCCACAAGCAUUUUUAGUAUGCCCAGAACUUGAUACAAGUAGAUACAUGGUAAACUUCAAUUUUUGACUAUAUUAUGACAUACUAAACUGGGUAAAUCAAUCUGCUCCUAAUUUUGGAUGAGUAUAGUAAAUUUUCUGGUUUUCUAAACUAUGCCAGCAGCUAUAGUAAUCAUAUUUUUUGAUGUUUUUAUUCUGAACAUUCUGUUCUUGUUUUUCAUGGUUUGUUGUCUGCUUCUUCCUGACUGUGCCCCAGCUGCAUCAUGCAUGUUGAUUGCUUCACAUGUUAGAUCACAAUGAAUGAAAUCUUCAUUUUCUAUUUAUAUAAUUUGACAGGAACUGCUUGUUGGCAGUGUUGCCUGUUUACGUCUAUUUUACGCAAUCUAGUUCCUUUUGUCUAGCACCAAUGCGAAGCCAACUUUUAACAGUUACUAAAAUAAUGCCACCAAGCGAGAGCAUGUGAAGAGACGCAGAGGAAGCAACACGAAGAAUUGGAAGCUGUGAAGAAGAGCGAGCAAGAGAAGAAUGAAGCAUGGCAAAAGAAGCAACAUGAGAGGAUAACGUCAUUGGUUUUCUAUUAAGGGCUCAAGCACGUCGACAAGCAACUCAACAGUCCUAGUCCAAACCAGAAGGGUCAUGAAGACCGUCCUUUUGUGAUGGAAAUAGUAGUUGAAUCAUACAUUGCAAUCAUCAUGACAACACAUGUUGUUUUUAGUUAUCUAAAUAUUGCUCUUCAACUUGACUAUUGUUGUGUCAAACUCGUGAGUUGGCGUUAUUUUGUACUGUCAUUUUAGUUUAGAGGACAAUUAGGCUGAGAGAUUGAAUAUAUAGUAUGAUUUGUCAUCCAUUUUAUUUUA